ACAUAAUCAGCGAAAAACUAAUUGUUUGAUACGUAUGGAGCUCAGCUAUUGGAUAUCUUUUUUUAAAGAAGCAAGAACACAUAUAAAUUGAUAGUCACAAAAACUAUUUUGUAUUCAAGAAAGAUUACCUUCAACUGGCACUUCAACUUGAGGAGAAAAGCACAAUAACUAUGAAUUACGUAAAACUUUCUUCAUGGGGAAAACGAAUAGUGGUAGGUGAGGAAUUCACCAUAGAGGUUACGUGCAAUAAAAGCAGCGAAAUGGCUGACCCACAAGGGUAUGGAAUAAACUUUCAAAAAAAAGGAAAGGAAGAAGACGCCGGCAUCAUUUUCCAUUUCAAACCAGUAGUCCCAGAGUCGACUGUUUAUUUGAGAACACUACAAGUCAACGAAGCCAACAAGAAAACAUCAUGGGAUAGUAAGACAAUGACGAUUCAGGAUGACAACGUCAAGGAGAUUUAUUUUGCCAACUCAUUCAAGCUGAAACUAAAGCCGGUAACGGAAAGUAGUAUUCUUGUGUAUGUGAAUGACAAGUUCAAAACCGAAUACGAAUGCCCAGGCAAGAAAAUAACUGACACCGAAUACAUAUUUUUUUCGCCCUCAGUUUCAAUUGAACAAUAUUAAAUACAAUUUUCAACUCCACCUUCAGAACGCUAGUAUAAAUCAAUUGAUUGGCUUAAAUUCAAUCCUGAUUUGCUUAAAAUGUUAAUGCGGUUCUUUUCUAAUGUUUUCAUAUAUCUUGAUGUUUGUGCUAUGUGAUUUGACGUUUAUGCUAUGAUUCUAAAUCAAUAAAGCUAUAGUUGCAUGU